rfam:Ornithorhynchus anatinus chromosome 3, whole genome shotgun sequence.
AGCAGCGUGGCUCAGUGGAAAGAGCACGGGCUUGGGAGUCAGAGGUCAUGGGUUCGAAUCCCAGCUCUGCCA